CACCAUAUAUUCGUUCUACUGCCUGAAAAAAAACGCUCUCAACGGAUCCCGAGCAGAAGUGAGUUGGCGCGUCAGAGCAGAGGGCAUUAAGGUUAAUCACCUAAUAAUUUACUACAGUCCAUGAGCCAACCUGCGUCGCUGCAUCCCCGGGUGCCAUUCGGAGGACCUGUGUGAUGGACACUGAUGGGAUUACUCAGUCCCAAGGCUCUCUGUAUCCAUGACACUCCAUCAUCCUCGGAGCCUGAGAAGUAGCUGUGGGACCGGAAGUUGGAGCCGAGGCAGAGUGGGCAGAGCUGCUUAUAAGAGAUGCCAAAUCUAGGCCCAAAGCCCAGAUCAUCUAGCGGCUAGCCAAGAGGAGCAAACAAUAAUCAGGCAAGGCAGCAGCCCUCAACUAACCUGGGACAAUGAACCGCCUCGUGGAAAUAGCUCGAGAACCAAAUCCAAACGUCACUCACUUGGGGCACCUUCCACCCCACCCCCAAACUGUCUCUGCAACGUUUCCUUCACUUCUCCUAGGCUCUGUGAUCCUCAUGGGGUCUGAUUUUCCCAUCUCUAGCUUCAAGUAUGAAGGUUGGGGCCAGGCUUGGUUACCAAAAGCAGCUUCUCCCUGGGCACGGGACAAAGAGGUUAAAGAUAGACACAUUUCCCAAGUUUAACCAAUCAGAUUGAUUAAUGCUCAACUCAAAUAUCUUGUGUUAGCCUUCAGGGAAAGAGAGUUAUUUGGUUUAAAUUAUCAAAAGAACUCAGUUUGAGCUCAUAGAGAGUGAUUGACACAGUACCACAAGAGAGAAGUGUAUGACGAGAGACUUCAAGUAGAGGAGCUGGUACCAAACCCUGAAGAGGCUAAGGUUGAGUCCACAGGACAGUGUCUCAGUCAGGGUUCUUAUUCCUGCACAAACACCAUGACCAAGAAGUAAACUGGAGAGGAAAGGGUUUAUUCAGCUUACACUUCCACAUUGCUGUUCAUCACCAAAGGAAGUCAGGACUGGAACUCAAGCAGGUCAGGAAGCAGGAGCUGAUACAGAGGCCAUGAAGGGAUGUUACUCACUGGCUUGCUUCCCUGGUUUGCUCAGCUUGCUCUCUUAUAGAACCCAAGACCACCAGCCCAGGGACAGCACCACCCACAAUGGGCUGGGUCCUCCCCACUUGAUCACUAGUGGAGAAAAUGCCUCACUGCUGGAUCUCAUGGAGGCAUUUCCUCAAGGGAGGCUCCUUUCUCUCUUUCUCUGUGAUAACUCCAGCUUGUGUCAAGUUGACACACAAAACCAGGCAGCACAGAGAGUGCGUUCACUUCUGGAGGCAGCCAUGCUUAAAGCCAGCAAGACUGAAACUUGUCCGCCCUUUGUUCUUGCCACAGAGUAGGUGUGGCUUAGGACCCCGCCACGCUUUCUGCCUGGUGACUUUUGUAUCAUGGUUUGCAGUACAUAGAAGCUGUCACUAAGAAUCUAAUCCCCAUGAGGACAUGUACUCCGACAGUGUAUAGUGCUGUGGGUGACCACUUCCCCCCUCUGAAAGCUCUUCCGUGUUCCCGGAGCCACGUAAACACACGUGCGAUACCUUCGCCCAGAUGGAAUCUGCGUUCUACAGAGAACCCUUGAGACGUGACCUUCAUGGUAGAAAUAUCCCGAAUGAGGCGACAUGGCAUCUAACACAUGGCCUUUCUGGGCUCGUGCCACGUAGACAGCUGCACACGCCCCAGAUCACCCAUCCUACGUGUGCCUCAGUGACUCCACCCCCACAAGCCACCCCUUUGUUUCAAAAUAUAAACAUAUUUUUAAACUUUUUAUGUGUCUGAGUGGUGUAUGCGUGUAUGAACACAUAUAUGUGCCCAUUAGCUUGCCUCUUUGUGCAUAUGUAAACUUCAGGUGUCCUGCUCAGCCACACUCCGUAUCUUUUUGAGAUCAAGUCUCUCACUGAGCCCAGCUCACCAUCUUGACUAGACUGGCUGGCCUGCGAGCUCCCAUCAGUCAUGUGUCUUCACUACCCACCCACUACUGGGGUUAUGGGGACCCACUGGCAAAGCUAACAUUUAUGUGAGUUCUGGGACUCUGAACUCAGGUCCACAUACUUAUUCAGAAAGCACCCUACCCACUGAGCCAUCCCUCCAGCAAACCAAACCACUUCUUUCAUUCAUCAUCCUGGCCGUCCACCUCCUGCUCCUCUCUGAUCAUCCUAGUGAACCCUCGCUUAUCCCUCCCAACCCUUCUGCCCCAGCAGCUUCUCUUUCUACUUUUAUGUCAUGUGAUUGCAACAUAUGUAAACAUAAUAUGUAUUAAAUCGUCUGUGCAAACAAUGUGCCAUUGCCUCAGAGCCUGGCUUACUUCACCUAGUUUGAUCGUCUCCCAUUCUGUUCUCUUCCCCUUCAUCCCUUCUGGGAGGUACAUGAGGCCUCGCACACCUUUUAUUAGCCAUCUGCUUGCAUUCACAGGGGGGCUUUGAACCCGCACAGAGACCUGGCCUUGCUCAUUGCAGGGUACUCCCCUGCAGCAUCCUCACUGUGAUAAAGUCACCUCAGAGUUUUCCCACAAACCUCUGAUCAUCCCAACCCUUCUCUUCCAUUUUCCCAAACUCAGUAAAGGAUGGCCACAUCCUAAAAGUGGCAGAGUGGCAGCCACUCUUGGCUGAUGGCUCUCUGUUAUCUCAGUUCCUCUUCCACGACGUCUCUGUUGGUUGGACCAUGAACACUUCUCCCUAGUCCACCUCAUCUUGUAUCCUCACUGCCCGGAGCUGGUAUCAGCCACCUCAGGUCUCGCCUGCUCUGGGGAAGAACUUCCUCCUCAGUCUCCCUUCGAUCCUUGCCUCCUGUCUACUGAAGUUGACACAUUCAGAUGUUAAUCGUUCCGUGGCUUCCUGAUAUAUUCAGAUUGUGCCUUGUGCUCUGUUAGAGUAGAACCCAUGUAACUCCAUGUCUGAAUCCUUCUACCACCCUGCAGCUCGUAGAAAUCACAGGAGUUCACCUCUCCUUUCGACCUUUUCCUGACACUGUCUUUUCUUUUCCCCCUGGAGGAUUUGCAAACUUGACCCCUUUACUCCAUAGCAUUCCUGGCUUCAGUGUUGGCCCCCUUGGGCUACCCCCUCUUAACCAGGCCCCUCCUACUAGAGAAAAUCUCCAUUGCCUUGGCAACACUCAGCACAAGCACAAAAUCCCUGACUCUAGCAUUUAGAGAGUGUGGAAAGUUCUGGGUCUUGGUUAUGACUGGUGACCUAAUUGACCUCACCAGAUGACACUUAGCUGAGAUGCAAAAGCAUUGUAGAAUAGAUCAGAAACAUUUGUGAAUUUCUGAGCUGACAUUUAGCAUCUUGAUUGGAGGGGAGGGAUGCUUUC